rnacentral:rRNA from 1 species
AGCGAACGCUGGCGGCAGGCUUAACACAUGCAAGUCGAGCGGGCACUUUCGGGUGUCAGCGGCGGACGGGGGCGUAACGCGGGGGAACGUGCCCUCUGGUUCGGAAUAACUCAGGGAAACUUGAGCUAAUACCGGAUAAGCCCUCUUGGGGAAAGGCUUGCUGCCGGAGGUUCGGCCGGCGUCUGAGUAGCCAGUUGGUGAGGUAACGGCUCAGCAAGGCGACGAUCAGAAGCUGGGCUGAGAGGAUGAUCAGCCACACCGAUACGGAGACACGGACCAGACUCCUACGCGAUGCAGCAGUGCGGAAUAUUGGACUAUGGGCGCAAGCAUGAUCCAGCCAGGCCGGGUGAGUGAUCAAGGUCGGAGGGAUGUAAAGCACUUUUAUCCGGGACGAUAAUGACGUUACCGGAGGAAUAAGCCCCGGCUAACUUCGUG